ACCUCCCGCGACUCCUGCGGAGCACCCGCUGGAGCCAACGAGUGGGCCCAGCCGAGCGCGGCUCACUUCCGGGACGCGGCGCGCCGACCCCUUCCCGGCUUCCCGUCAGCUCUCCUCAGCAGUAGUCUCGGCGGGUACAGUCAGGAGGAACUGCCCGUCCCGGGGUCCUGUGCGCGUGUAGAGGAGGGAGCGCUCGCCUCUUUGGUCGCCUGGUGAGGCUCUGGAGGGGGGUGCGACGAAUAUAGGGACUCGAGGUCCGCCGCGGGAAUGAUCCACGAACUGCUCUUGGCUCUGAGCGGGUAUCCAGGGUCCAUUUUCACCUGGAACAAGCGGAGUGGCCUGCAGGUGUCACAGGACUUCCCAUUUCUCCAUCCCAGUGAAACCAGUGUCCUGAAUCGACUCUGCCGGCUGGGCACAGACUACAUUCGUUUCAUCGAGUUCACUGAACAGUACACGGGCCAUGUGCAGCAGCAGGAUCACCAUCCAUCUCAGCAGGGCCAAGGUGGGUCACAUGGAAUCUACCUAAGGGCCUUCUGCACGGGGCUGGAUUCAGUUUUGCAGCCUUAUCGCCAAGCACUGCUUGAUUUGGAACAAGAGUUCCUGGCUGACCCCCAUCUCUCCAUAUCACAUGUCAAUUACUCCUUAGAUCAGUUCCAGCUCCUUUUCCCCUCUGUGAUGGUUGUAGUAGAACAAAUUAAAAGUCAAAAGAUUCAUGGUUGUCAAAUCCUGGAAACAGUGUACAAACACAGCUGUGGAGGUUUGCCUCCUGUUCGCAGUGCACUAGAAAAAAUCCUGGCCGUGUGUCACGGGGUCAUGUACAAGCAGCUCUCAGCCUGGAUGCUACAUGGACUCCUCUUGGACCAGCACGAAGAGUUCUUUAUCAAACAGGGUCCAUCUUCUGGUAAUGUCAGUGCCCAGCCAGAAGAGGAUGAGGAGGAUCUGGGCAUUGGGGGACUGACAGGAAAACAACUGAGAGAACUCCAGGACUUGCGCCUGAUAGAAGAAGAGAACAUGCUGGCACCAUCUCUAAAGCAGUUUUCUCUGCGAGUGGAGAUUCUGCCAUCCUACAUUCCAGUGAGGGUUGCUGAAAAAAUCCUGUUUGUUGGAGAAUCUGUCCAGAUGUUCGAGAAUCAAAAUGUAAACCUGACUAGGAAAGGAUCCAUUUUGAAAAACCAGGAGGACACUUUUGCUGCAGAGCUGCAUCGUCUCAAGCAGCAACCCCUCUUCAGCCUGGUGGACUUUGAGCAGGUGGUGGAUCGUAUACGUAGUACUGUGGCUGAGCAUCUCUGGAAGCUGAUGGUGGAAGAGUCAGAUUUACUGGGUCAGCUGAAGAUCAUUAAAGACUUUUACCUUCUGGGACGUGGAGAACUGUUUCAGGCCUUCAUUGAUACAGCUCAACACAUGUUAAAAACACCACCCACUGCAGUAACUGAACAUGAUGUGAAUGUGGCCUUCCAACAGUCAGCACACAAGGUGCUGCUAGAUGAUGACAACCUCCUCCCUCUGUUGCACUUAACAAUCGAGUAUCAUGGAAAGGAGCAUAAAGAUGCUACUCAGGCAAGAGAAGGGCCUUCUCGGGAAACUUCUCCCCGGGAAGCCCCCGCAUCCGGCUGGGCAGCCCUAGGCCUUUCCUAUAAAGUGCAGUGGCCACUACACAUUCUCUUCACACCUGCUGUCCUGGAAAAGUACAAUGUUGUUUUCAAGUACUUGCUGAGUGUGCGCCGGGUACAAGCUGAGCUGCAGCACUGCUGGGCCCUACAGAUGCAGCGCAAGCACCUCAAGUCCAACCAGACCGACGCAGUCAAGUGGCGCCUAAGAAAUCACAUGGCCUUCUUGGUGGAUAAUCUUCAGUACUACCUCCAGGUUGACGUGCUGGAAUCUCAGUUCUCACAGCUGCUUCAUCAAAUCAAUUCUACCCGAGACUUUGAAAGCAUCCGAUUGGCUCAUGACCACUUCCUGAGCAAUUUGCUGGCCCAGUCCUUUAUCUUGUUGAAACCUGUGUUUCACUGCCUGAAUGAAAUCUUAGAUCUCUGCCACAGCUUUUGCUCGCUGGUCAGUCAGAACCUGGGCCCACUGGAUGAACGUGGGGCCGCCCAGCUGAGCAUCCUGGUGAAGGGUUUUAGCCGCCAGUCUUCACUCCUAUUCAAGAUUCUCUCCAGUGUUCGCAAUCAUCAGAUCAACUCGGAUUUGGCUCAACUACUGUUACGACUAGAUUAUAACAAAUAUUACACCCAGGCUGGUGGCACUCUGGGCAGUUUCGGGAUGUGAGAAUUUCUGGUCCACAAACUAAGUCAGUCAAUCCCCUGCGUUGUAACAGAAGAUUCAAAACAAACGUCCCAUUCUCUGGCCAGACACUGUAUGUAUGUCUGCAGCUACUGGAAAAGCUCUACCUUUUCUCCUAGAAGCAGUUAUUGAACAUCCAUGGAUACAAAUCCUCCCCCCUCCUUCCCAUGUGGAAGGGGCACCUGCCCCACCUUAGGGGAGUUCUUAACUCAUCCACCAAGGAGGACUUGUGGCGUCAGCCCUCCCUCUGCUGACCAUGCAGGAUCUGUUACAUUGAGAACAUUCGUCGGAUAUGUUCAUUUACUGAGCACUUAUGUGCCUAGGUACUGUUCAAACUGGGAGAGACACAGCAGUAAGCUAUACAGAUCAGAACGUUAAAUGGCUCAUGUGAAAAAGGAAUUACAUUUAUUAAUAAGUCAAAUUCUGGAUGUUACCACUGAGCAAGAAAGGCACCAGCUGUCCUUCUACAAUGAACAAGCCCAUUGAAAACUGCAGAGAAGGUACUAUGUUUGUCUUGCUAUUUGUUGAGAUGAUUAAGCUCAAAGAAAUGGAUGAAGAAAUCCCAGUUACUACAACCAGAGAUUCAACAUUUAUUUUAUCAUAAAAGUCCAGCAAAUAAAAGUAUAUACAAGAUCCAUGCAAGGAAUCCGGUUACACACAAGACACAUUUAAAACCUGGUUAAAACACAGUCUCCACAACACCAGGGAAUAAAACCGGUUAAGACCGAGUAUCCUUAGUGAGAAACAUAAUCGUGUUUAUAUUUUGGAUGCUGCUUGAAUCCAAUUCUCUGCCCAACAAUGAGGCACUGGAUCACCCACUCUUGUGACACCACAGGCAGCUGCAAUGCUUCAGCACACUUCAGCACCGAGGCUGGGCACGAGGGGUCCGUCACCACCACAUCAAAUACCCCUAAAGCAAUAUCUGCAGGAAGCAGGGGAAGGUGAGUGAGGAAAGGAGACUCAAUUUAGCCCUCCAGUAAAAAGACAGAUGAGCCUUCUCACCAGUAUAUCCCGCUCUGCCCAAACUAAAGCCCUUCAUGUCAAACACAGUGGCACUGAUCACAACCAAAAGUGAAAAGUCACAAUCACUAUAUGCUGGCCUUGAGUUUAGCAGGUAUACCGGUGGACACCAGGAGAAGCAUAAACAGCCCGGUGCGUCACUCAUGUUGGCUCACCUCUUGAAGGUGGUACUCUUCUUCUCUUAGAAACACGGGUAAGGUCACCCUAUCAGAACUGAGACUUAGACCACAAGGCCUAAGUGCCACGGGUCAUGGACAUCCUUGGAGCAAUAACAACACACACACACUUUCCAGGUACCUUUGUUAUGGGCACUUGAAUGGUGCUGCUUCACAGAGGCUGCCCCCCCAGUCAUGAGGAUCUCAGACCAGAGCUCCAGGAAGUUCUGCUGUUGGUCUGAUACCAAGAGUACCUUCAGAUUCUGGAAAGGGUUUUCACGGGGUUGCCUACGAAGGAGUCAGAGAAACAGCACGACAGAUAAUAGCCAAUGACAGCCUUUCUGCAAAGGGACGCAGUUUCCCAGUUCCUGAAAUCUCUAGCGACUGUAUCCAUUGUCCCCGGCCCCUAUCAGCCGCCUUCUCGGUACAGCAAGUGGACUCUUCUCAUCACUGCCCCUUUGGGAAUCUACACAAAGAAACUCCUCACCUGGGCUUCAUUGAAGUCUUCGAGAAUAUAGCCAGCUCCUGCUCGAAGCUGGGAUUCUGUGUAUUGCUUGUUGAAAGGAGGAAUUUCUAAAAAUUCUAUUAAAGAGACAUAACCACGAUAA